UGGGGAAUAUUGCACAAUGGGCGGAAGCCUGAUGCAGCAACGCCGCGUGCGGGAUGACGGCCUUCGGGUUGUAAACCGCUUUCGCCUGUGACGAAGCGUGAGUGACGGUAAUGGGUAAAGAAGCACCGGCUAACUACGUGCCAGCAGCCGCGGUGAUACGUAGGGUGCGAGCGUUGUCCGGAUUUAUUGGGCGUAAAGGGCUCGUAGGUGGUUGAUCGCGUCGGAAGUGUAAUCUUGGGGCUUAACCCUGAGCGUGCUUUCGAUACGGGUUGACUUGAGGAAGGAUAGGGGUAGGAAUGAAUUGAUCCUGGUGGAGCGGUGGAAUGCGCAGAUAUCAGGAGGAACACCAGUGGCGAAGGCGGUUCUCUGGGCCUUUCCUGACGCUGAGGAGCGAAAGCGUGGGGAGCGAACAGGCUUAGAUACCCUGGUA
rnacentral:rRNA from 1 species